GAUGAACGCUGGCGGCGUGCCUAAUACAUGCAAGUCGAGCGAACGGACGAGAAGCUUGCUUCUCUGAUGUUAGCGGCGGACGGGUGAGUAACACGUGGAUAACCUACCUAUAAGACUGGGAUAACUUCGGGAAACCGGAGCUAAUACCGGAUAAUAUUUUGAACCGCAUGGUUCAAAAGUGAAAGACGGUCUUGCUGUCACUUAUAGAUGGAUCCGCGCUGCAUUAGCUAGUUGGUAAGGUAACGGCUUACCAAGGCAACGAUGCAUAGCCGACCUUAGAGGGUGAUCGGCCACACUGGAACUGAGACACGGUCCAGACUCCUACGGGAGGCAGCAGUAGGGAAUCUUCCGCAAUGGGCGAAAGCCUGACGGAGCAACGCCGCGUGAGUGAUGAAGGUCUUCGGAUCGUAAAACUCUGUUAUUAGGGAAGAACAUAUGUGUAAGUAACUGUGCACAUCUUGACGGUACCUAAUCAGAAAGCCACGGCUAACUACGUG
rnacentral:rRNA from 1 species